rnacentral:rRNA from 1 species
UGGGGAAUCUUGCGCAAUGCGCGAAAGCGUGACGCAGCAACGCCGCGUGGGGGAAGAAGGCCUUCGGGUUGUAAACCCCUUUCAGUUGGGACGAAGCUUCGGCGGUGAAUAGCCGCCUGGAGUGACGGUACCUUCACAAGAAGCCCCGGCUAACUACGUGCCAGCAGCCGCGGUAAUACGUAGGGGGCUAGCGUUGUCCGGAAUCAUUGGGCGUAAAGAGCGUGUAGGCGGCCCGGUAAGUCCGCUGUGAAAGUCGGGGGCUCAACCCUCGAAUGCCGGUGGAUACUGUCGGGCUAGAGUGCGGAAGAGGCGAGUGGAAUUCCUGGGGUAGCGGUGAAAUGCGCAGAUAUCAGGAGGAACACCAAUUGCGAAGGCAGCUCGCUGGGACGUAACUGACGCUGAGACGCGAAAGCGUGGGGAGCAAACAGG